CGUGACGGCGCGAGCAGGUGCGAAAGCAGGUCAUAGUGAUCCGGUGGUUCUGAAUGGAAGGGCCAUCGCUCAACGGAUAAAAGGUACUCCGGGGAUAACAGGCUGAUACCGCCCAAGAGUUCAUAUCGACGGCGGUGUUUGGCACCUCGAUGUCGGCUCAUCACAUCCUGGGGCUGAAGUAGGUCCCAAGGGUAUGGCUGUUCGCCAUUUAAAGUGGUACGCGAGCUGGGUUUAGAACGUCGUGAGACAGUUCGGUCCCUAUCUGCCGUGGGCGCUGGAGAACUGAGGGGGGCUGCUCCUAGUACGAGAGGACCGGAGUGGACGCAUCACUGGUGUUCGGGUUGUCAUGCCAAUGGCACUGCCCGGUAGCUAAAUGCGGAAGAGAUAAGUGCUGAAAGCAUCUAAGCACGAAACUUGC
rnacentral:rRNA from 1 species